rnacentral:rRNA from 1 species
UACAGAGGGUGCAAGCAUUAAUCGGAUUUAUUGGGCGUAAAGAGCGCGUAGGCGGGUUUUUAAGUCAGAUGUGAAAUCCCGGGGCUCAACCCCGGAACAGCAUUUGAAACUGAGAAUCUUGAGGGUAGUCGGAGAAAAUGGAAUUCCACGUGUAGCGGUGAAAUGCGUAGAUAUUAGGAAGAACACCAGUGGCGAAGGCGCUCUACUGGGCCAUUACUGACGCUGAUGGACGAAAGCUAGGGGAGCGAAAGGG